rnacentral:rRNA from 1 species
UACGUAGGGUGCAAGCGUUGUCCGGAAUUUUUGGGCGUAAAGAGCUCGUAGGCGGUUUGUUGCGUCGGCUGUGAAAUCCCGAGGCUCAACCUCGGGUCUGCAGUCGAUACGAGCAAACUAGAGUGUUGCAGGGGAGACUGGAAUUCCUGGUGUAGCGGUGAAAUGCGCAGAUAUCAGGAGGAACACCGGUGGCGAAGGCGGGUCUCUGGGCCGAUACUGACGCUGAGGAGCGAAAGCGUGGGGAGCGAACAGG